UACAGAGGGUGCAAGCGUUGUUCGGAAUUAUUGGGCGUAAAGCGCGUGUAGGCGGCUUUGCAAGUCGGGUGUGAAAGCCCUCGGCUCAACCGGGGAGGGUCACGCGAUACUGAUCGACUCGAAGGCAGGAGAGGGAAGUGGAAUUCCCGGUGUAGUGGUGAAAUGCGUAGAUAUCGGGAGGAACACCAGUGGCGAAGGCGACUUCCUGGUCCAGCACCGACGUUCAGGCACGAAAGCGUGGGGAGCAAACAGG
rnacentral:rRNA from 1 species